GAAGUGCUGUUCGCUUGUUUACAUUCUUUCGCAUUAGGUAACGGCUCAAGCAAAACAAUGGCUGACAGUUAACCGGCUCCGUAUAAAAACCUCUUGAAACCGCUUUUACCUCUCCGCUGUCGGGCUGGACCACCAUGGCGUCCCCGCUGCUCGUGCUUCUGUGGCCGGGGCUGGUGCUGCCUUUCGCGGCGGCGGCUCCGACUCGUCCGUGGGUCGCCGUGGUGGAGGUGUACGCGGAGCAGCGGUUUAGCGGCACUCUUCUCCGCGGGGAGGUGGUGACCGCUAGCCGAGGAAAGAGUAACGAGGGUCCCGACGAGGAACCGGAGAGCCUGGAGGGAGAACUAGUUCUGAUUAAGGACUCGGAGCCGCAGGUGAGCGGAGAUGACAAGGAGGAGGGGGAGCUUUGGAUCGGCGUGAUGCCCGUGGAGGACCACCAAGUGUCCGCCGGGAGCCGGCAGCAGGAGUCCUUCACCGAGGCUGUGGUCAGCAGGAUGAAGCGGGCAUUGGUGCUCGGAGCAUCCGCGCUCAUCAUCCUGGCUCUCAACCAAAACACAGUCAGAGAAAUGGAUCUGUCGCCGGUUCUUUCCAAACCUGUCAUCGUGAUCCAGACGUCGGAGAACGUCACCAGGCUCCUGGGAGCGUUGCUCAGGGGCCUCCAUGCGACUGCUAAGAUUACCUUCGGCAACAUCCUACCUGACAACCUGGGCGCCACACUGACACUGUGGUCGAGCUGCGGGCGCUCCAGAGGGGGGCGCUAUGGUGAGUGGCAGGGCGUCAUCUGCACGGGGGAGACCAACUCGCAGGUGCAGGUACAUAUAGCACGUAAAGUACCUGCAGCGGUUGUGGGACACUGUCCUAUGGGUGGCGCUUUUCCUCAGCACCGGUGUCAUCCUGCAGGCCCGCUGGCAGAACCACGACCGCCAGAUCCACGGCAACAUGGAGGACGUUCAGAAGACCAUCUCGUCCCUCCGGACCAAAACCUAUCGAAGGCCCAAAGUGAGGCGCGACGAGACAGACAACUGUGCAGUCUGUCUGGAGGCCUUUAACCACAACCAGUGUCUUCGUGUGUUGCCGUGCCGACACGAGUACCACCGGGACUGUGUGGACCCCUGGCUGUUGCUGCAUCACACCUGCCCACUGUGCAAGCGCAGCAUCCUCGGCACCAUCCGCAGUGAAAAUUAGUGGUCAUCGUGGGAACACUCCAAAUUAUUAUUAUUUUUUUUUACCCUUUUGUUAUAAGGACCUGGAUCAGAAACUGUUGCGUGUCCACAGGGAUUCUUCUGGGAAUUUUUCCCACAACCAGGACAGUGGUUUUGACACUGCUUUUUCAUCUGCCACCACGGAAAUCUCAGCAGGUAAAUUGGCACUGGCCGGUCCCAAAUUAUGUCAACACACUGUCAAAUUAAAAACAUCAACUGUGUUUUAAAACUGUAGAUUUUAAAAGUGUGAAUCAGGUUUGAGACCUUAUUCAAGUAUUUAUUCUAAGCAUUUUCAUGUGCUGUGGUUACAAAGUGCUAACAGAUCAGGUCCAUGUACAAAAACUGGUGAGUUGUGGUUUGUGACUUGAAGGCGCAAACUGGACGACAAGGUCAAUGCAAUAAACGUCUACUUCCAAGUGUUA